AAACCGCCUAGAGGUAAACGGGUGGAUCCGCAAAGUCGGCCCGCGGGAUUCAGCUCGGAAGGCUUCGUGCCCGGCCGGUGGGUAAGGGAUCUUAUCGACCCUCCUGCCACGGGACGCGAGUCGGCCGUGUGCACUUUCCGCGGGCAGAGCGCCACGACCGGUUCUCGGGCGGUCAGAAGGCGGCGGGGAUGGUAGGCGGGCGCCUCGGCGCUCGCUGGUAUAGCCCCGCCUGUCCCGAUCCGCUCUGGGGACCGAGGAGCCGCCGUCGGCGUAGGCCGCCUCGCUCUCCUGGGAUGUUCGACUGGCAGAGACUGGGCAACCGUGUCUGCUGACCGCUUCCCGGGAUNGACGGGGUGGGCCCGCCGGCACAGGGUCGGUGGCGAAUCGGUCGGCCCUCCACCCGACCCGUCUUGAA
rnacentral:rRNA from 1 species